UAUCUGGCUGGGCUCAUUUUGCCUCUG
rnacentral:piRNA from 1 species